GAAGAACAAGGAUGUAUCUUAAGAGGAGCCAGAGUAGUUAUCCCAGAUAGUUUGAGGGAACAAGUUUUAAGUGAAAUACAUGGAGAUCACUAUGGUAUUGUAAAGUCAAAGGCAAUUGCAAGGACAUACAUGUGGUGGCCAGGAAUUGAUGUCAUGAUAGUCAUGUGUAAAACAGUGCCCAAAUUGUUCAGCAUUCCAGAACAAUCCUAAACCUGCACGUAUGCAUCCUUGGGAAUAUCCUAGACAACCUUGGCAAAGACUACAUUUAUACUUUGCAGCUCCCUUCCUUGGCAAUUCAUUUCUAAUAAUAGUAGAUGCAUUCAGUAAAUGGCCAGAGGUAAUACCUAUGAGUUCAACUACCUCAGAAGCUACCAUAAAGGUCUUAAUGCCAGUCUUUGCUACAUAUGGACUUCCAGUUUGCAUUGUGACAGACAAUAGUCCACAGUUUUGCUCAACUGAAUUUUCAGAAUUUCUAAAAGUUAAUGGAAUAGAACAUACUAAGUCAGCACCUUACCAUCCCACUACUAAUGGUGAAGCAGAACGUUUUGUUCAAACCUUCAAACAUAACGUGAACACUGUGUUACUGGACAAGCUCCUUCACAGUUACUUAUGGGUAGAAGAGUCAGAAAUAAACUAGACUUGCUUAAACCAGACUUCUACUUGCAACAAAAUAAUCGUGAAUGGCAACAAGUAACCAAACACCAAACUGUGAAUGAGUUCAAACCAUCUACACCAGUAAUGGUUCGUUCAUACAACACAGAUGUUAAAUGGGUUCCAGGUGAAAUUGUAAAAGACCUAGGACGAAUGCAUUAUAUUGUAAAUGUGGGCGGACAAGUAUCAAAAUGUCACAUUGACCAACUGAAACCUUACACAGCUCCAGCUCAAGAAACAAAUGGAGAUCUGAGAGAUGUAGAACCUGUGUCUUUGGAAAGUAGAGAAAUAGAUGUAUCAUCUAAUGAUUGUAAUGUUCAUUCAGCUUCUCCAGAGAGAGUGAAUAGGAGAGUUCUUCCAGCUCGAGAAACCAGAGGAGUUCCUACUGAGCGCUUAGACUUCUAAGAUUUUCUUCCUUUUUUUUUACAGGGGGAAGGAAAUGUUGUAUUAGAUUAAGAAUAUUACGGGUCAGUUCUUUGUUUACUUAUGUUAUACAUUAAAAGUUCGUUUUCUUUCAUACGCAAACUGUAAAAUAACAGUGUUCCAAUUUUUUAAAUAGGAAUCCAAUACCUUUUGUACUUUUAUACACAGUGUUCAUAGGAUCUCAUACUUUAUAUGUAUUAUUGUGGUACUUAUACCUUCGAGAGACGCCUCAAGAAGACGCAAGGCAGAAAUGUAGCUUUUCCUUUAAAUAAAGUGUAUGAGGAGCUACGCAUCUUCGACUUCCCUUCCCGCAGCACUGCAAUGAGGAUGGGAUAGUAGCUGGUCACCGUAUGAUAGACUACUAGGCAUGUGUGUUGCAGUGUCUGCUUUGGAGCAAGUGCAAGAUUAAGUGGUGGCUGUGAUGGGGUUCCCAGCACUCGAGGUGGUGAUGGACAAGAUAUAGAUGUUGAACGAGUAUCCUCACUGCUAGAUGUAGCUGUUCCUACUUUAAUACAAAUCACAUCUUGGUUUGUGUCAAAUGUUGAGUUUCCAGUGGCAGGAAAAAGGUCAUCGUCCUUCUCCAGGGUGGACUCAAUGCUGGCCACCUGAUGAGAAAUACAUAUUGAUUAGCAUUUGAAAUAAAUGAAAGUGACAAUGGAUACAGCCUACAAUGAUGGGAAAUAUUUGAACAUGUAAUGUACAGCAAUUUUUAUGUAGUGGUAUGCAAGUUGAGUAAAUGAGCUCAAUGCAAAUUGAGUAAACUAGUUCAGUGGUCAAGUAAAUGCCAACUUGAAUUUCCAUAUGAAGAUGCAAUGAGUGGCAGUCCUUGAAACCAAGAUCGUCUUAACAUAUACUACAUGUAAAAUUAAGGUGUAGCCAUGAUGUAAAUAUGUCAGAGCAGGACACCUCAGAGCAAACACAUAUUAAUUUUCAUAUGUAAAGCCUGCAGAAUUUUUAAGGUUAGUCUAUGUUGCAACAAGAAAUGAAAAGUGCACUAAUAAAACUGUUUAAAAGUU